AAUAAGUGUAGUUUUGCACUAUUCACGUUCAACGUUUGACCGUUCGUCUUAUUUAAAAUUUUUUUAUGAUUAGUAUUUUUAUUGCUAUUAGAUGAUAAAACAUGAAUAGUACUUUAUGAGUGACUAAAUAUUUUUAAAUUUUUUAUAAAUUUUUCAAAUAAGACGGAUGGUCAAACGUUGGGCACGGAUAUCCACGGCUGCACUUAUU
rnacentral:pre_miRNA from 1 species